ensembl:lncRNA
CCCUGAGUGAGUAACUAGGGGUUUACGCAGAGAGUCUGAGGCUGUGUUGUCUGUGGAGGUGGCGGCCCUCACAUCUGGGGCUUAUCAAAGGCCUGCAGGGAAGUGUUAUCAUGGUGCAGCACACCUGGAUGCCCUUUAUAACUAGUGAAGCGCCUGCAGAGUGUUACCCUCCCAAUCCUCCGGUGAGGUCCUUCCAGACUGCCCGGGAAAGAGGUGAGGCAGUUGACCUGGGGAGGUGUUCAGAGCCUCACCCUCAGUCACCCAGCCAGAGGCACCCACGCUGAAUUUAAAGGUGGCCUUAAUUCUGGCAUCCUCUGCACCGCACUCCAUGGAAGCAGCACGUGACAACAGGUGCAUGAGUCUGGAAAAAAAAUUGAUGGAUGUCACCUCUGAGAUUAGAUGACAAGAGAUUGCCGCUUCCAUCUCACUCGCUCGCUCUUGUUCUACUGGAAGCCAGCUGCAAUAUCAUGAGCACCCUAUAGGGAGGACCACGGCAAGAAACUGGUGGGGGCCACUGGCUAACAGCCAGCAGGGACCUGAGGCCGGCCAGCAGCCGCCUGACUGGGAAGUGGAGACUCCCUAAAUUAAGCCCUCUCAUGAGACUUCAGCCCUGGCUUACAUCUCCAUUGCAGCCUGUGAGGCUUGAACCAGAAGACCCAGCAAAGCACUGCCUGGGCUCUGCGCCCAUGGAAACAAUAAGGUAUCAUCGACCUUUUCUCAUUUCUUCCUUGUGUCAACCUGGAUGCAGAAGAUGCUGGGCAAAUGCUGGAGCCAGGAAACAACUGAGCCUGGACCCAGAGUCUGGCCUGAUUGUCCCAAGGCUCCAGUCAUUGUGCCGGAUUCAAGUGUCAAGUCAAGGUCAGGAGGGCCACGAUGAGAACUGAUGAAGACUCCCAAUCCUGGCAGGAGGCUGGUCCUCCGUCUCCAUAAACACGAGCUCUGGCAGAGACGUCUGCAAGCCUAGAUCUUUACAGCUGGGCUAGUGGCUUCAACCGUCUGAAGGGCAGACUCAACAACUGCCAACCGGUGCGCUGUCCAGAAGAUGCUUUCUGCGUGGCCCUGCAAUGCAAAGUCCCCAAGCCCAAUCCCAAUGUGCCUUCCUGGUGUUCCUGGUCGCCUAGAGUUUUCACCUCCUUUGUCCCCAGUGCUGGGCACCUUCCCUAUUUAAGUAUUAUCCUAGCUGAUCACUGCUUACAGAAAGCCCAUAUUCUUCAUUUUCAUUGAUAGAGUUCCCAGAGCUCUAGCCAGUGCCUGGCAUCAAGCAGGGGCUGAAUGAGAGCGUGUGGAGGGCUUCCCUGGGGGCUUAGUGUAAAGAAUCUGCUUGCCGAUGCAGGAGACAUGGGUUCCAUCCCUGAUCUGGGAAGAUCCCACUUGCUGUGGAGCAGCUAAGCCCAUGCGCCACAACUACUGAGCCUGUGCUCCAAAGCCUAGGCUGCAGCUACUGAAGUCCCUGCGCCCUAGAGCCUGCGCUCUGCAACAAGAGAAGCCGCUGCAAUGAGAAGCCCGAGCUUCUCAUUGUAACCAUAGUGUAGCCCCUACUUUCCGCAACUAGAGAAAAGCUGGAGCAGCAAUGAAGACCCAGUGCAGCCA